GACGAACGCUGGCGGCGUGCCUAAUACAUGCAAGUCGAGCGGACUUGAUGGAGCUUGCUCCUGAUAGUCAGCGGCGGACGGGUGAGUAACACGUGGGCAACCUGCCUGUAAGACUGGGAUAACUUCGGGAAACCGGAGCUAAUACCGGAUACGUUCUUUUCUCGCAUGAGAGAAGAUGGAAAGACGGUUUCGGCUGUCACUUACAGAUGGGCCCGCGGCGCAUUAGCUAGUUGGUGGGGUAAUGGCUCACCAAGGCGACGAUGCGUAGCCGACCUGAGAGGGUGAUCGGCCACACUGGGACUGAGACACGGCCCAGACUCCUACGGGAGGCAGCAGUAGGGAAUCUUCCGCAAUGGACGAAAGUCUGACGGAGCAACGCCGCGUGAGUGAAGAAGGUUUUCGGAUCGUAAAACUCUGUUGUCAGGGAAGAACAAGUACCAUAGUAACUGAUGGUACCUUGACGGUACCUGACCAGAAAGCCACGGCUAACUACGUGCCAGCCGCCGCAGUAAAAC
rnacentral:rRNA from 1 species